rnacentral:rRNA from 1 species
AGGGUUUGAUCAUGGCUCAGAUUGAACGCUGGCGGCAGGCCUAACACAUGCAAGUCGAACGGUAACAGGAUUAGCUUGCUAAUCGCUGACGAGUGGCGGACGGGUGAGUAAUGCUUGGGAACUUGCCUUUGCGAGGGGGAUAACAGUUGGAAACGACUGCUAAUACCGCAUAAUGUCUACGGACCAAACGGGGCUUCGGCUCCGGCGCAAAGAGAGGCCCAAGUGAGAUUAGCUAGUUGGUAAGGUAAAGGCUUACCAAGGCAACGAUCUCUAGCUGUUCUGAGAGGAAGAUCAGCCACACUGGAACUGAGACACGGUCCAGACUCCUACGGGAGGCAGCAGUGGGGAAUAUUGCACAAUGGGGGAAACCCUGAUGCAGCCAUGCCGCGUGUGUGAAGAAGGCCUUCGGGUUGUAAAGCACUUUCAGUUGUGAGGAAAAGUUAGUAGUUAAUACCUGCUAGCCGUGACGUUAACAACAGAAGAAGCACCGGCUAACUCCGUGCCAGCAGCCGCGGUAAUACGGAGGGUGCGAGCGUUAAUCGGAAUUACUGGGCGUAAAGCGCACGCAGGCGGUUUGUUA